rnacentral:lncRNA from 1 species
AGGGCUCAGGCGGAUGCAGUAAAGAUUUAUCAUUACACUAUCCCUUUUGAUUUUUCUUACACUUAGUUCUUGUAUUCCUAAGUGUUAGCAGCUUCUGUUAUUUAUCUUUGUGUAUGCAGACACUUGCUAAGGUUUUACAACAGAAAUAGUUUUCAAGCUGCAUUAUCAGUUUCUUCAGUGGGACUUCAUUCUCCUCACACUGUCCUGGAUGCCCAUUCAGAAACUAUGUUUCUGCAUACCUCACAUUCUUUGAAAAUGGCAAUGUCACUUUCAGUUCUGUCUGCAGUGUGUUUGUGUCAGGGCUGGUAACAGGGCUUCACGCUGCACACAGGUCCCGCUCUUCUCACAGUUAAUGCUUGCUCCUAUGUCUUUCGAAGAUCCAACUACUAAUUCCUCUUCACACAUUUCCUAUAGACUGAAAAUUUCAGGUAUGAAUAGGCUCAGACAUCAGGGAUUUUAUCUUUUUGAUUCAGUUUGGACGGUUGGUUUCCAGGAAUUCUGAGCAAUUGCCAUCUUGAAUUUCUAAGAUGGCAACUCCAGAUGUUUCCUUCUGGUUUCUUUCUUUUUCAAAAAAAUUUCUUUUAUGUGUUUCUUCAUUUUCUCUCAGAUUGGCUCAUUUAUUCUCUGUUGUUCUUGUGGGUUUUUCCACUUUAAAUUUUGUAGUUGUCAAUUUAUAGGCAUCUGGGGUUCAAGGCAACAUAAAAUAAGAAUUUUACUUGCAUGUACUAGAUUCUAGUAACUAAACUAAUAUACCAAAUUUACAACUGAGUUGGCUGAUUUUAGGGUAAUUGCACACAAGCUAGAGUCAUUUGGGAAGAGACUCCCAUUUUAGAAAAUGACUCCAUGAGAUACUGCUAUAGGGUAUUUUCUUAAUUAGUGAUUGAUGUAGACAGUCCAUUCCAUUGUGGGUUGUGUUAUCCCUGAACUGGUGGUCCUGGAUUGUGCAAGAAAGCAGGCUGAACAAGCCAGUAAGCAGCACUUCUCCUUGGUUUCUGCAUUAGUUCUUGGCCUCAGGUUCCUGCCGUCUCAAUGGACUACAUGUGAUCCAGGACAUAUAAGCCUCCCCAAAUUGCUUUUUGUGAAACGUUCCCCUCUGACCCACCAGCCAGCUCCCAAAUUAUGACAUGGAGACCACCCAUCAAUAAUGAAAUCUCGGCCUAUAGCUCAGGUCUGUUGCUUACCAGCUCCAACACCUCAAAUUAACCCAUUCACAUUAAUCCAUAUUCUUUCCCAUGGUGCUACCUCACCUUCAUCUUGCACCUCCACUUUCCUCUCUGUGUUUCCUGGCAUCUGGAUUCCUUCUCCUCUUCCUUUCUCUCCCAGGAAAUUCUGCCUCUACCUCCUGCCUAGCUAUUGGCCCCUCAGCUUUUUCUUAUAGCAAUCACAGCAAAUACAGCUUCACACAAUGUGCAAAUACCCCACGACAGCUUUUGGUCAUGGCUUUUUAUUACAACCACAUAAACCUAUCUAAAACAACAGUAGUCUAGAAAGUCCCCCUGUGAUUCAUGGUUAAAAUAUCUUAAAAUACUUCAGCUCCUUCAUGGAACCUUCAGUAAAUUAGGAGGAAGGCCAGAGAGAUUUAGAUAGAAGCUAAAUGCUAGUUUUUCAGAAAAGUCUGCCUCACUCAUUCUCUGAUACAGGACUUUUAAGACGUCCGGACUUCCUCUUUGUACACAGUGAGCCUUUUAAGUGUUCUUUUUCUCAGUACAGCAAAAUUAUUUAGGACAUUGUGAAAUAACGGUGAGAUAGUAAUCAUCUAUAUUGGCACAAUGUCUUCUAUGUAGAAAAGCCUGCCAAGUGCUUGCAACUUGAAGGGAAUUGUUGUUGGUAACUGAAAAGUGUCUUUCUGAAAUGUGAUUUUACCAUCCGAGGUAACAUUUUAAAGAAAGGGGCUCUUCUUAGUGAACUGUGAAGAAACCAAGGACUGUGACCCACUGGAAUCUUUCCUGUAGAAUGUCGUCAAAAUUCUACUGGACAGCCGAGUUGGGUUUCCUGUGUUGCCUUAUGGCUGCAAGCCAUCACCGAAUUAUAGAUAGCUAGAGCAUUCAUGCCCUUGGAGAUGGCAUUUGUCAUGUGAUUCUCGGAGGGAGUUCCUUGAAGACUUCCCAAAGGUUAAAGACAUGAGAAGUUGUUGCUGGCUAGAGUGAGACAGAACCACAGUGCCAUGGCCACGUGCUGAUGGUGUGCAUAUUGUGGCCAUUGCCAGGACCCAUGCUUUCACCUGGAGUUUGAUGAGAAGGCCAUGGCAGGUUUUGAGUUGACACACCAGAGAAAAUUCAGCAUGGAUUCUAUGUGAAGAAGGCUUGGUAAAAAGAUCACUGUCAGCUGGACAACUAUGACAUGAGAGAAUGGCUUCACUCUGAUGCCUGCCAGGUUAGGGCCUCACAGCUGCCUGUGGUGAACACAGAAAAUCUCACACAAUUUUCUUCAGGAUUCAAGACAGUUGGCUUCAGUGGACACGGUUGUGGAGGAAUCUCGGCUUCUUCUAGCAAUGGCCACAGUUCUGACAUCGUUCGUACCAGGCCUUCCCCUGCCACUGUCCUGGUGGGGAGAAAAGGGGAGGCUGCUGGCAGGGUAGGAGUGGGCAUUGUGCGUGGGCACUCUGGGGGUGGAAUGCAGUGUUUUCUGUGUUGUUUUGUAAAAUAUGACAACUGUAACUUUCUGAUCUUGCUAUGGGACCCUGUCUUGGUUCUUUGGUUGAAACACAUUGGAAUUGUACAACUGGCGGCUUCUUCAGUUCUAAGUGCAUGACACAUGCAACAAAACUGAACAAGCUAGGGUCCUGCGCAUUGGCUCCAUCCUCAGUCCUAAACUGCUUAGCCAGGCUGUGCUUUUGACCUUCCAGAGUGUUUUUUGUUUGUGAGUUAGUUUGUUUGUUUUUCUUUUAUAUAUAAUAUUGAAGGUUUUAGUUGUAGUUAAAGUAAACAUAGGAAAAAGUAUGUAUUCCAUCAUCCAUAGGGGAAGGAAACUUACUUAUCAUUUUGAAAAUAAUAAUAAAGAACAAUAAUCUUGAGACAGAAUUUCAUAUGGUAUUCCAGGCGAGCCUUAACCUCUUAGUGACUGUUCUGCUUCAGACCCCUCAGUGAAAGGACCAGAUGUUCACCACCAUACCCUGCUUAAAAUGUAAAAUAUUUGUUUAACCAAAUAUUUAAAUAAAAUUCAGGAGACUGGAGAGAUGGCUCAGUGGUUAAGAGCACAGGCUGCUCUUCCAGAAGUCCCAGGUUCAGUUCUUACCACCCACAAAGUGGCUCACAACAGCCUGUACUUCCAGGGAAUCCAGGGCCUUCUCUGGUCUCCGUAGGCACUGCAUACAAGGACAUACAUGCAGGCAAAGUACCUCUACAUAUGAAAAUAAAUCCUUAAAAAAUGAAACGGAAAGACUGAGGGAAACAUAUAAUUACCUCCAUCUCACUUUUGCACAAUUCCAGUUUCUUCUCAUAGAAAGAACACCUCGUUCCUAGCUAGUGUGGAGUUUAUUAUCAUUCUAUUAAGUAAUAUUUUCUCUAUUACUUUGCAGAUGUUAUCUUUAAGCAUUAUCAUUAAACAUUACACAAGGAAAUCAUCUCAUGUUCACUGUCUGUCCUCUCAGUAUUGCGUUCAUGUCAUCAAAGCCAGGUUGCCUAUGCAAUUUUGAUUUGGUUCCCAUUGCCAUUGUCUAGUUCUUCUUUCUUCUACCACAUCCUCUCUCCCCAUCUAGCAACAUCAGACAGCUACAUUCCACUUUAACCUCUCCCUUGCCCAGCAUUGUAUA